rnacentral:rRNA from 1 species
GACGAACGCUGGCGGCGUGCUUAACACAUGCAAGUCGAGCGGAGCGGCGAACGGGUGAGUAACGCGUGAGUAACUGCCCCCCUCUCUGGGACAACAGUUGGAAACGGCUGCCAAUACCGGAUAGUGGGGGAUGACUCGCGUCCUAUCGGCUUGUUGGUGGGGUAGUGGCCUACCAAGGCGACGACGGGUAGCCGGCCUGAGAGGGCGACCGGCCACCUGGUGCUACGAGACGGCCCAGACUCCGACGGGAGGCAUCAGUGGGGAAUAUUGCACAAUGGGGGAGACCCUGAUGCAGCAACGCCGCGUGCGGGAUGACGGCCUUCGGGUUGUAAACCGCUUUCAGCCAUGACGCGGUAGUGGCAGAAGAAGCACCGGCUAACUACGUGCCAGCCGCCGCGGUAAUUC